rnacentral:lncRNA from 10 species
GGGGUGAAAGGCCAAUGAGUGGUGGGAAGGAAAGGGAAAGAAGCUUCCAGAAGGCUAGGGGUAAGAAUGCAGCAGUGAACAUGGUUCCUGCACUCAUGAAGCAAAUGUAUCCACUGUGGUACAAAAGAGACUGUAAAAAACAAACCCAAAUGGACAACAGACCCCAACUCCAGUUUAAAAACGCCACCACUCAACAGCCUGUUUUCUGAGCCUAUGACCACAUAUAUGCUGCAGAACCCUUUCAGGGUGUAUCUGAAACUACUUCUCUUAAAGGCAAGCUGUAACUGGUGCCAGAAAAGACAGAAGCUGAUUGAGGUCCCAGCUUGGUAACAGUUUGAAGAGUUGCAGGACUGGCUGGAUGAGUACUGGCUGCAGCAAAUCAGGCUGCCAGGAUUCUUUAUGGCUGUUUCUGCUUCCACUACAGCUGAGUCAGAAAGGUCGCUGCCCCGUGGUGGCACUAGACGCAGUGGACCUGGCAAGCAAAUGUUUCCGCUAUUAGCUCUCAGCAACAGAGACUCAUUUAUGGUCACCUUGGAAAUCUGGGCUUAUCGAUCUACAGCCCAAGUCUGCUGAGAAGCUGGAGCUUACUAAAGGGGAAACCUGAGAGCUGUUCAAGCCCCAAAUAUUUUCCACUUCUGCGUCACCUCUGCUGUCUGUUAGCAGAGUGGAGGAGAAAAUACACAGCACAAACAACGUGAAAAAAUAGUUACUCUAUUCAUUAAAAGCUGUAACUUCCAGAUUGGACUUGAGAAGCAAUUAAGCAACAGAGGAACCUCAUCUACUAUCUGUAUUC